rnacentral:rRNA from 1 species
ACUCCUACGGGAGGCAGCAGUGGGGAAGUCUUGGACAAUGGGCGCAAGCCUGAUCCAGCCAUGCCGCGUGAGUGAUGAAGGCCCUAGGGUCGUAAAGCUCUUUCGCCAGGGAUGAUAAUGACAGUACCUGGUAAAGAAACCCCGGCUAACUCCGUGCCAGCAGCCGCGGUAAUACGGAGGGGUUAGCGUUGUUCGGAAUUACUGGGCGUAAAGCGCGCGUAGGCGGACUGGAAAGUUGGGGGUGAAAUCCCGGGGGCUCAACCUCGGAACUGCCUCCAAAACUCCCAGUCUUGAGUUCGAGAGAGGUGAGUGGAAUUCCGAGUGUAGAGGUGAAAUUCGUAGAUAUUCGGAGGAACACCAGUGGCGAAGGCGGCUCACUGGCUCGAUACUGACGCUGAGGUGCGAAAGUGUGGGGAGCAAACAGGAUUAGAUACCCUGGUAGCGACUGA